ensembl:lncRNA
CAGCCCUCAUCACUCCGCACUCUUCCCCCCAGCCCACUGAUAGCAACCAUCAUAAUGCCCCACCCAGCUUCCGGCACCUUUCGCCACUCCGGCACAAACCGACACAGCUUUGCGAUCUCGCCAGCAUGCAGAGUCUGAUGUCUUCCCUAUAGAUGAUUCCAGAGACUCUGUGAGGUCACUAUUACAAGGUGAGACGCUUUGCGUUGAUUGGUGCUGCUGGACCACACUGGAGGUGCGAGUCCGCCGUGUAAUGGUUUAUGCCAUUACAAAGGAGCUGGCCUCUGUACUCAACUGGGCAGGGGAAAAAAACCAAGGACCAGACAAAGCAAAAAGGGCAUUUAAAGAGACAGCGCUGUGCAGAUGCAUAUUUGAUGGCCUUGCGCAGCAGGUAGGGGCGAACUCUAUGUCUGAGUUGGUCUUUGCUCAAGCAGUCCAGAAAUGGCUCAGAUAUGCUCCAGAUCGUGCGGGUGGCGCGCGAGGACGCACAUCAUCCAUCCCCAUCCCGGAGUAAAUGAUAAAA